GAUGAACGCUGGCGGCGUGCCUAAUACAUGCAAGUCGAGCGAACGGACGAGAAGCUUGCUUCUCUGAUGUUAGCGGCGGACGGGUGAGUAACACGUGGAUAACCUACCUAUAAGACUGGGAUAACUUCGGGAAACCGGAGCUAAUACCGGAUAAUAUUUUGAACCGCAUGGUUCAAAAGUGAAAGACGGUCUUGCUGUCACUUAUAGAUGGAUCCGCGCUGCAUUAGCUAGUUGGUAAGGUAACGGCUUACCAAGGCAACGAUGCAUAGCCGACCUGAGAGGGUGAUCGGCCACACUGGAACUGAGACACGUCCAGACUCCUACGGGAGGCAGCAGUAGGGAAUCUUCCGCAAUGGGCGAAAGCCUGACGGAGCAACGCCGCGUGAGUGAUGAAGGUCUUCGGAUCGUAAAACUCUGUUAUUAGGGAAGAACAUAUGUGUAAGUAACUGUGCACAUCUUGACGGUACCUAAUCAGAAAGCCACGGCUAACUACGUG
rnacentral:rRNA from 1 species